rnacentral:RNase_P_RNA from 1 species
UGAGUAAGCCAGACGGUCGCGCGGCGGUUUUCCGCCGUGAGGAAAGUCCGGGCUCCAUCGGGCAAGGGUGCCGGAUAACGUCCGGCGAAGGCGACUUUAGGGAAAGUGCAACAGAAACACACCGCCGAAACAGGGGCUUUUGCCCGCUGUGGCAAGGGUGAAAUAGCGAGGUAAGAGCUCACUGCCCGCCGCGGUAACGCGGAGGGCGUGCAAACCCCACCCGGAGCAAGGUCAAACGGGAGGUACCCGCGCCGCGCGCGGGGCGGCGGCCCGUCGCAUCCCGAAAAUGGUGGACCGCAAGCGAACGGAGAUUAGGCCGUUCCGGAGGCCGACGGAAACGGCGGCCCAAGAUAGAUGAUCGUCGCCUGCCCGCAAGGGCAGGGCACAGAACCCGGCUUACGGCUUACUCACUUU